AACAUAAUAUGGCGACCCAGAUAGGACGUCCCUUCUUGACCCUGUACAGCCAAGCUGGCUCACUUGCAGUGACUUGAACUGUCUCAUCAUGGAUACAAUGGUGGGAUUCCAGAGAGGAGCCCACCCAGGACUGCCUCCCAGACCGGGACUGUGCUAGGUACUGCAGAGGUCCAUUGCGCCCUACCAGCUUCUCUGUUUGCAUCGGCUGGGCUUGGGUGAAUUCCCAUGGAUUCUAGACAUCUCUGUUGUUAUAAGGUGCAGCACACCCGCCAGCCUCUGCUCUUCCCUUCCGGAGCCCCAUGUCGUCCGAGCUCUUGUCUGGGUUUGCUCUUGGGGGCUCAGGCAGGUCUCCAGGGCGGCCUAAUGGGAACAGUCCUGACGGGCCAUUCACCUUUUAGAAUCUCCUUUCUCUGCUGUUGUGUGACUAACCGCUUCUGCUAACCCUCCAGCUUGUGUCUGUGCCUCAGCGUCCAAGCCCUCCUGUGGGACCAGCAGGACACACGGAAACAUAUCUGGGUGGGGUCCCAGGAGCCAGGGCCCGACACCCGGGUGGGAGAACCUGACCUGAGGGCUGCCGAGGAGCAUGGAGCCACGAUCUGAAGCCAGCACAGGGAGAGCAGGGUUGGAAACCACCUCUCUCCUACAACCGGGAUCAGAGAAACAGGUUGCCACAAUUUCACAGCUGCCUCAAGCUGCCCCUUCUCUGCAGGAGCAGGUCCUGCAGCUGCCUGGGUGUCUUUGUGAUUCUGGCUCUUCCUCACAGCACUCUGGGUCCCCUUGCCCGUCACUGAGGCUCGGAGUGGAGGGUGGGGCUUUGGGGGGUCAGACCCUCCAGGCUCCCACACAUCCUCUUUGCUCCAGGACGAGCACUGGCUCCUCUUUGCACACCGGAUGACAGUGUGCAAGCCCAGGGCCAGAGACCUAAGACCUGCGCUACAGACUGAAUGUUCUCGCCCCUCCAAAUUCACAUGUGAAAUCCUAAAGCCCGAUGUGAUGACAUCUGGAGGUGGGGCCAUUGGGAGUCCCAGUGGUGACCCCUCAGAAAUGGAAUGAAUGCCCUUAUCAAGUGGACCCCAGCGAGCUCCCUCACUCUGUCCGCCGAGCGGGGACCCAGCAAGAAGCCAGCCGUCCGUGGGCUAGGAAGCAGGUCCUCACCAGAGGCCGUCUUCCAGGGCCCUGAUCUUGGACUUGUCCACCUCCAGAGCUGUGCGGAAAAAAUGUUUGUUGUUCAAGCCACCCAGUCAGUGGUAUUUUUUAAUUGAGCAGCCCAAACAGACUAAGACAAUCUGGCAUGUGCGGAAUUCCCUUGUGAUUGGCUCUAUAAAAAGAAAAUAGUGGUUUUGGCCUCUGGCGUUUCCUUCGCUAGAGUCCUGUCAAUAGGAAUUGGACCUAAAUACAGGGUCCGGCUGAAGUAAUACCGGAGUGUGGUCAGUAGGGUAAUAAUACGGGUAUUAAUAACUUACAGUUUUAAUUUGAGCAUGUCACCUAAACUGUCCUAGGGUGUGCUGGAGGGUGAUAUUGUUGUGUUACAGAAUUACACGCUGAUGAUUUUGUAAUAAAAGAUUUUGUAGUAAAAAGGGGGUGUCACUUGUGCUGGACCCUGUGCUUUGGGCCAGCAGUCCCCAUCUUCCCUUCGGGCACUCUGACCAGGGCUGAGGCGCUCUGGGGAUCGGGCGACACACUGACGACGCUCCUCCUGAGCAGGGCACGAGGUGGCCGUCCUGGAGGUCCCUGCCCAGCUCUGACCGUGACCCGCGCACCUCGGUCCUCUGCCGAGUGCCAGCCGGGACGGAGGUCCGAAGGCUGACUUCAGGGCCCACGCAUGUAAAUGUGUGUUUCCCCUUUUCUGCCCCCACCCUCUUGCAGAGAAAUUCUCUUACUGGGAAGUAGAGUUCCAGGUGUUGAGAGCGGGACGUAACUCUAGAAGAAACUAAUGUCCAGAAGGAGGAGAGCCUGCUCGGUCCACGCUCCUCCGCUCCGUGAAGGACACCAGCGCCCACCAGAGCCCGAGCCAGAGCGUGGCCCAGAGCGUGGCCCAGAGUGUGGCCCAGAGCGUGGCCCACCCACCUUCUGCCAGCCUCACCGCCUAAGUGUGUUGCACGUGUGUCCAAUUCCCCGUCCUGGUGGCAAAUACAUUAAUUCACCUCGGCCACCCUCAUUGCUCCCCUUUUAAGGCCACAUCAGCUUCCUUGUGGGUUUAUGCACGGCGGUCUGGAUAAACUCUUAAACACAAA